AUGACAAUCAACUGGAAGAGAGAGAAAACAAUUACUCUACAGGAUAAGACAUUUGCCAAGGGAAUCCCUCCAAUCUCCUUACACAAAUUGAUAGCCAGUAAGAAUAAAAUAACAGAAGGAUAUUUCUUAUUUCCGAAGGCCAAGGAUAAAACAAAAAUGGCACCAAUAGAAAACUCUGUGAAGGAAGUACUACAAGAAUUCCAGGAUGUGUUUGAAACACCAAUGGAACUUCCACCUCAAAGAGGUUUUGACCAUGCAAUCCCUCUCAAAACAGGAUCUGAGCCACCAGCACUCAGACCUUAUAGGGUGCCUCAUCACCAGAAAGAAGAGAUGGAAAAACAAAUCAAACAACUACUAGACGCUUCAAUCAUAAGGCCUAGUGACAGUCCGUAUGCAGCUCCUGCAUUGCUUGUCAAAAAGAAAGAUGGCACCUGGAGGCUGUGCACAUAUUUCAGAAAACUCAAUGACCAAACCAUCAUAAACAAAUUUCCAAUACCAAUCAUUGAAGAUUUGUUGGAUGAAUUGCAUGGGGCCAAAUAUUUUACAAAAAUAGAUCUCAGAUCUGGGUAUUACCAAAUAAGGAUGAAAAAGGAAGACAUACCCAAAACUGCCUUCACUACAUUCUUGGGGCAUUUCGAGUACCUGGUCAUGCCCUUUGGCCUUACUAAUGCACCGGCCACAUUCCAAGCAUUGAUGAAUUUCAUUUUCAAGGAGCACCUCAGGCACUUUGUCCUCAUCUUCUUUGGUGAUAUCUUAAUCUAUAGUAAGACACUGGAAGACCACAUUAGGCACUUGAGGAUAGUGCUACAAAUCUUGAGGGAACAGCAACUAUAUGCUAAAAUGAGCAAAUGUGUGUUUGCUGCUCCCCAAGUGGAAUACCUUGGCCAUAUUAUCUCUUAUGCUGGCGUAGCCAUCGAUCCUACCAAGGUAUCCACUGUGAGAGAUUGGCCCUUAACAAAAACAAUCACUCAACUGAGAAGUUUCUUGGGCAUGGCUGGGUACUAUAGAAGAUUUGUUCCCAACUAUGAGCUCAUUUGCAGACCACUCCACAACAUCCUCAAGAAGAACUCCUUCCACUGGACAGAGGAGCAAACUGAAGCCUUCAAUUUGCUAAAACAGAAACUAACCAUUGCCCCAGUUCUGGCCCUACCAAACUUCAAAGAAAAAUUUGUACUGGAAACUAAUGCUAGUGGGUAUAGUAUAGGUGCAGUACUGAUGCAAAAUGGCAGACCUAUAGCAUAUUUGAGCAAAACACUGGGCAUGAAAGUUGCUGCUAUGUCAACUUAUGAAAUAGAAGCCUUGGCAAUAUUGGAAGCCCUUAAAAAGUGGAGGCACUACUUCCAGGGACUGGAAUUAGUCAUAAAACUGACCAGAAAAGUCUUAAGUUUAUCACUGAGCAGAAAGUUUCUGAAGGGCUGCAGCACAAACUCCUACUCAAGCUGUUGGAGUUCAAUUACUCCAUUGAAUACAAGAAGGGGAAAGAAAAUAAAGUGGCCGAUGCAUUGA
rnacentral:rRNA from 1 species